rnacentral:rRNA from 1 species
GAUGAACGCUGGCGGCGUGCCUAACACAUGCAAGUCGAACGGAGUCCAGCCUUUAAGACCUUCGGGUCAAAGAGGGGAAGACUGAGUGGCGGACGGGUGAGUAACACGUGGGCAACCUGGCUCAUAGAGGGGGAUAACAGAGAGAAAUUUCUGCUAAUACCGCAUAAGCACACACUGCCGCAUGGCAGAGGGUGAAAAGAGAAUCGCUAUGAGAUGGACCCGCGUCUGAUUAGCCAGUUGGCAGGGUAAGAGCCUACCAAAGCGACGAUCAGUAGCCGAUCUGAGAGGAUGAACGGCCACAUUGAGACUGAGACACGGCCCAAACUCCUACGGGAGGCAGCAGUGGGGGAUAUUGCACAAUGGGGGGAACCCUGAUGCAGCGACGCCGCGUGAGUGAAGAAGUAUUUCGGUAUGUAAAGCUCUAUCAGCAGGGAAGAUAAUGACAGUACCUGAAGAAGAAGCCCCGGCUAACUACGUG